rnacentral:lncRNA from 1 species
AACAUCAAAUAUUUUCUCUGAAAAAAAGUUACGCCAUUUUUCGAACCGCCUCCCCACUCGUCCGACCUCCUCUCGCGCGUCUCUCUCCCUCCGGUUGCCCUCUCCACAGCUUCCUCCCAUCGCUGCUGCCACUCUCACCUCAGCCACCGCUGCUGCCACACUCAUCUCACGGGCUGUCGCCGCUGCCGCACACAUCUCGCGCGCUGCCACCGUCGCAGUCACGAUCACCUCGGCCGCCGCCGCCGCACUAACCUCGGCCGCCAUUUUCUUGCCUCGAUCUUCUCUCGCCCCUCUCGCCCCUCGCCUU